UACGUAGGGUGCAAGCGUUGUCCGGAAUUAUUGGGCGUAAAGAGCUCGUAGGCGGUUUGUCGCGUCUGCUGUGAAAACUCGGGGCUUAACCCCGGGCCUGCAGUGGGUACGGGCAGACUAGAGUGCGGUAGGGGAGACUGGAAUUCCUGGUGUAGCGGUGAAAUGCGCAGAUAUCAGGAGGAACACCGGUGGCGAAGGCGGCGUUCUGGACUGUUUCUGACACUGAAAAACGAAAGCCAGGGGAGCAAACGGG
rnacentral:rRNA from 1 species